rnacentral:rRNA from 1 species
UACAGAGGAGCCAAGCGUUGUCCGGAUUGACUGGGCGUAAAGCGCACGCAGGCGGUUGCGCGCGUGGGGUGUGAAAUCUGGCCGCUUAACGGCCAGGCGCCAUCCCAUACGGCGCGACUGGAGUGAUGCAGAGGUCGAUGGAAUUGCCGGUGUAGUGGUGAAAUGCGUAGAGAUCGGCAGGAACACCCAGGGGGAAGCCAGUCACCUGGGCCCGCGCUGACACUCAUGGACGACCGCGUGGGGAGCGAACCGG